rnacentral:SRP_RNA from 1 species
AAGAAGGACUCCUCGUGCGAGUGCC